rnacentral:rRNA from 1 species
CAGUAGCCGCGGUAAUACGUAGGGUGCAAGCGUUAAUCGGAAUUACUGGGCGUAAAGCGUGCGCAGGCGGUUAUAUAAGACAGAUGUGAAAUCCCCGGGCUCAACCUGGGAACUGCAUUUGUGACUGUAUAGCUAGAGUACGGCAGAGGGGGAUGGAAUUCCGCGUGUAGCAGUGAAAUGCGUAGAUAUGCGGAGGAACACCGAUGGCGAAGGCAAUCCCCUGGGCCUGUACUGACGCUAAUGCACGAAAGCGUGGGGAGCAAACAGGAUUAGAUACCCGUGUAGUCCCUGUCUCUUAUAA